rnacentral:rRNA from 1 species
UACGUAGGGGGCAAGCGUUGUCCGGAUUUAUUGGGCGUAAAGAGCGUGUAGGCGGUUUGGUAGGUCCGCUGUGAAAACUCGAGGCUCAACCUCGAGACGCCGGUGGAAACCAUCAGACUAGAGUCCGGAAGAGGAGAGUGGAAUUCCCGGUGUAGCGGUGAAAUGCGCAGAUAUCGGGAGGAACACCCGUGGCGAAGGCGGUUCUCUGGGACGGUACUGACGCUGAGACGCGAAAGCGUGGGGAGCGAACAGG